CUAAUACUCCCUCCGUCCCAAAAUUCUUGUCUUAGAUUUGUCUAAAUACGGAUGUAUCAAGUCACGUUUUAGUAUUAGAUACAUCCGUAUCUAGACAAAUCUAAGACAAGAAUUUUAGGACGGAGGGAGUAUUUU
rnacentral:pre_miRNA from 1 species